GACGAACGCUGGCGGCGUGCCUAAUACAUGCAAGUAGAACGCUGAAGAGAGGAGCUUGCUCUUCUUGGAUGAGUUGCGAACGGGUGAGUAACGCGUAGGUAACCUGCCUUGUAGCGGGGGAUAACUAUUGGAAACGAUAGCUAAUACCGCAUAACAAUGGAUGACACAUGUCAUUUAUUUGAAAGGGGCAAUUGCUCCACUACAAGAUGGACCUGCGUUGUAUUAGCUAGUAGGUGAGGUAAUGGCUCACCUAGGCGACGAUACAUAGCCGACCUGAGAGGGUGAUCGGCCACACUGGGACUGAGACACGGCCCAGACUCCUACGGGAGGCAGCAGGAGGGAAUCUUCGGCAAUGGGGGCAACCCUGACCGAGCAACGCCGCGUGAGUGAAGAAGGUUGUCGGAUCGUAAAGCUCUGUUGUAAGUCAAGAACGGGUGUGAGAGUGGAAAGUUCACACUGUGACGGUAGCUUACCAGAAAGGGACGGCUAACUACGUG
rnacentral:rRNA from 1 species